rnacentral:rRNA from 1 species
GACUUCUGGUUUAAUGCACCUGGCCCGCGGCCCACAAGGCCUGAGUGCCGGCGCGCGUUUACCAUCCUUCCAGCAACGGCUACCCUUAACUGGGCGGCUGGAACGGAUCUUUUACUUUGAAAAAAUUAGAGUGUUUAAAGCAGGCGUUUGCUCUGAAUACUGGAAUAAUAUCUAGGACUUCGGUUCUAUUUUGUUGGUUUCUAUAACUGAAGUGAUGAUUGAUAGGGAUAGUUGGGGGUGCUAGUAUUGGCCGGUCAGAGGUGAAAUUCUUGGAUUCGGUCAAGACUAACUUAUGCGAAAGCAUU